AUUUGAUGUACCUGCAGCUUCUCGCUGUUGCUCCUCUUCUGUUUGUGUGUGUAUGUGUCAGCUCGCGCCUGCAACAUGCACACACACACGCACAGACACACACACACAGACACACACACACACACACUGGAACGCCAGCCAUCGCGCGCAUCUAUUUACUUUUAGCGCAACACAGUCCGUGAUCUGUAUGGACCUUGAUAUCUACUGUCGAUAUGGACCAAGUCUUGAUGCUCGGGAGGGUACAUAAUCCAGUCAAGCGGCCGUUUCGACUAUUCCCCGUUCUCUCUCACUGUGUCUGCAUACUGUAUUUAUCAACAAUCAGUACAUUGAAAUUGGUAGGCUGUUAUCUCACAGCCUGCUGUAGUCUGGGAACGUCUUCACACACACUGUAAAAAAAAGUGGGAGCAAGGGUGGCCUGGGCACUAGGCAUGAUACCUUUUUAGAAAAUAAAUAAAGGUGAGCUAAUUUAUAUUUAAAAAUGUCUCAAUUUCCUGACAUGAUCUAAUAAAAUGACCCAAAUCAGUGAUCUGAUCUAAUGGAACACACCAUUAAACAGAAUUCAGUCAAAUAAAAAUGGAAAAAACUGAAUUUAGGAAAAAUAAACAAAACAGAGUCAGUCACACUGGUACUGUUAUUUUAUUUUAAGAAGUAGGCUAAAUAAAAUCAAAUAAUCAAUCAUGAUUUGUGUAACUGUAACUAAUUAUUACUCUGUUAAAAUGGCAUUUCAUUUGGUGAAGAGAGUUAAUGACUUGUUUAGGACUCGAAAUUCAAAGAUUAGGACUUUUGACUCGACUUGAGACUUGCCAGUCUUUACUUGGGACUUGACUCGGGACUUGAGACCAAAGACUUGCAAAGCAAUGACUUUGUCCCACCUCUGGUUGAUACAGACGAUUAGUACGGAUCCCUGUGUUGUGUAUGUUCACUGUAUAAAGAAUGUACACUCUCAAUAAGUAAAACUAAUUAGGCUUGUGAUUAUUAUUGUUGUCAUGGAUACUUGUCGGGCCAAUGUAUCUGACAAUUUACUUAAAAAAAAAAGUUAUCUACAAAUUUAAGUGACCAGAGAGAUGUGGAAAUCCUGGUAUUCCACACACUUAGAUGAUACAAUCAGACUUAAUGAGGCUUAGAAAAAAGCUAGACAUAAACAUUUUCCAGGAAACAUGCAAUCAAUAGUCCUUACACACAGAGUAUCUGCUGUAUGCUGACAUUGCAUUUGGACACUGAGCUUUACAAUGAAGGUGUUGCUUGCUUUUUCCAGUGUGUGAUGAUAGUUACGAUUAACACAAUCCAAGAGUAAAGCUGAAUGAUGUGUAAACUCCUCGUCUGUCCUCGGACUGUCUUCCCUUAGCGCUUCCAGGAGACCAGCAUGGCCCUCCACCUUUUCAAACAGAAUGAACAUUUGCGAACUGACUGUCUGAAUGACCUUCUAACCUUUCUUUUAGAUAGACAGGCUGAUAGAUAUUUGAAAGAGAGAGUAUAACUUUCUUAAAUCCCGGGAGGGAAAUUGUGUUGUUGUAGCAACAAAAACUGGACAUUACAUUAAAGAACAACAAGAGGAAGUAGCACACAAAACACACUAAAGGCUAAAAGAUACUAAACAACUGAGGUCAGUAAGUUGCAGAGAAUACAUAAAAUGAUAUAAACAAGAUUGCAGAGUAAUGAUAAUAUUAAGACACAUACUAGGUAACUAUACGUGCAAUGUUCUAAAAUAUGAGGGUGGGAGACUUUGUCCAUUACUGAGAACAGUUUAGCCAGUAUUCUGGCCUCAACCAUCUUAUCCAACCUGACAUGCAGACUCAGCCUUCUUGAUCAGUGUGUUUACAUCUUUUACUUUGGUGCCCAGGGCCCACUAACCAGCACACAACAGCAAAGAUGUACAAGAGUAUAAGUAUCUUGGCACAAUAACUGACAACAAACUGACAUGCAACGCCAGCACAAAUGCAAGGUAUGCAAAGGCUCAACAGCGCUUCUAUUUUUUGAAAUUUUAAUGUUGGCAGCACUAUGCUGAAACUAUUUUACAAGACUGUUAUUGAAAGUGUGCUGACCUUUUGUAUUCAGUGUUGGGGAGGAGCACUGUCCUUACAAAAUGAGAACAAACUGGAAAAGGUUGUUAAACUAGGCAGCAAGAUAACUGGGAAGCAAAUGUACAUAAUUUCUUUCCUAACAGACCGGUACACAUUGAAUUUAGCCAUCAAGAUCACAGCUGACCCUCUGCACCCCCUUUGGUCAGAGUAUGAACUCUUGACUUCAGGGCGCAGGUACAGAAUGCCCAGGAUGAGGACUAAAAGAGGCAUUACAUCCUUUGUUCCACACAGUAUUCAGCUUCUUAAUAAGCUCUGAUUAUACAGGACGAACUCGGCACUCUGCACUUUAUUUAACUUGCUGAAAUACCUAAUUUAACCAGGUGAUACUUUAGUGUGUUUUUAUGUGCUGUCCUGUAAAUGUUUGUUUGUAUUGUGUUUUUUUAUGCUCUCUGUGCAAGGCAAAUUCAUUAAAGGAAGGGCAUUAAAGGUUUCAUUCAUGAUGCUCACAACAACAGACUGAUUGUGUAAGUUUAGGUGCACCAAUCCAGUUUGUCGUCCAGUUUUACACCUACAAGUCAGUCCCACUAAUGCAGACAGGGAAAGGAGAGGAUUUAUUCCUUUUUAGGUCUACCACAAUCUCCUUUGUCUUGUUCACAAUCAGCUGUUGGUGAUUCUCCCCACACACCCUCAUGAACCACUCCACCAGGCCCUGAUACUCCUCCUUCUGUCCAUCUUCAAUACACCCAACGAUAGAAGUUUCAUCGGAGUAUAUUUUAAGAUGACAUGAGUUGGAGUUGUAUUUGAAGUCAGAUCUGCAGAUGGUAAAGAGGAGAGGAGGUAGGACUGUUCCAUGCGGGACUCCAACAUUACUCACCAGAUUGUCAGACACCCAGCUCUGCAGCCUCACAAACUGUGGCUUACCUAUGAGGUAUUCUAUGAUCCAUGAGACCAAGGGGGUUUGCACCAGCAUGUCCUCCAGCUUCUCUCUCACUAGCAUGGGCUUGACGGUAUUAAAGACGCUCGAGAAGUCAAGGAACAUGAUCCACACUGAUGUGUUGGCUCUAUCCAGGGAGGAGUAUGAUCUCUGCAGCAGCUAUAUGAAGGUGUCAUCCACACCCACGUGCGGGCGAAAUGCAAACUGCAGAGGGUCUUGUGAGGAGCAUACAGCUGGUCUGAGGUGUGGUAAGACCAGCCUCUAGAUAACCUUUAUUAGAUGAGAGGUUAGUUACCCAUGUUGCAGAGGGGCCUUAAGACGCUACACAGCUGGUAAGCAAAGACUAAGUCAUGUUUGCACAUUAGAUUGUGUAAUCACUUCAGCCUUUGCAGUGAAGGGAUCAUUUACU